GAGGAAACAAAUCUCAAGAGAUAAAGUUUGACUGCUAUGAUUAUGACAGCGAUGGGUCACAUGACUUUAUCGGUGCAUUCACCACUACGCUAGAAGACAUGGAGUCCAAAACUCAGGGAGGAAAGGAGGAUUCAGAUAUAACUGCAAAAUUACUGUAUUGAAAAAGAAAAUAAGGCCCAGUAUCCCUGCAUUAAUCCUAAGAAACAGUCCAAGAAGAAGUACCAGAACUCAGGAGUUAUACACCUUACAGAGCUCAAGAUAUUCCAGAGACCAUCAUUUCUAGAAUUUGUGUAUGGUGGCAUGCAAAUAAAUUUUACAGUGGGAAUUGACUUUACUGGAUCCAAUGGAAAUCCUGCUAAUCCCACUUCUCUUCAUUACAUCAACCCUUAUCAGCCCAAUGAAUACAUGCAAGCCAUACAGGCUGUGGGGAAUGUCUGUCAGGAUUAUGACACGGAUAAGUUGUUUCCAGCUCUAGGAUUUGGAGCCAAGCUUCCAGACGGACAAGUGUCAAUGGAGUUUGCAAUCAAUUUCAACCCCAGCAACCCUUAUUGUGCAGGAAUUGCUGGUGUCCUUGAGGCCUACAAAGCUUGCAUACAAAGGGUGACUCUCUAUGGCCCGACCAAUGUAGCUCCCAUCAUCUACCAUGUAGCUAGAUUUGCUGAGCAGGCCCAGAAAGAAGAGGCUGAAAAAGGGGCACAUGCCUAUUUUAUCUUACUACUUCUGACUGAUGGCAUCAUCACAGACAUGGACAGAACAAGGGACGCCAUUGUCUAUGCCUCGGGUCUACCCAUGUCCCUCAUUAUUGUGGGGGUGGGGGAGGCAGACUUCAGUGACAUGAACUUCCUGGACGGGGACAAUGGAACCCUGAAGGGGGCCAAUGGCAGACCUGCUCUGAGAGACAUCGUCCAGUUUGUGCCCUUCAGGGAUUUUAAGAAGACUACUGGUGCUGAACUGGCCCGUCAUGUGCUAGCCGAAGUUCCACAACAAGUGGUCCAGUACUAUGAAAUUAGGAAAAUUCCCCCCAAACCACGACCCACUCAAACCUAAUUAAAAGGGAGACAACUGGUUGAUUUAAUUUUGAGGGUAACCAACCAAGAAGAGGCAACUUUUAUGCUACAGAAUUUGUUGACAUUUGUAAAAUUGUUAAUACUAUAGUUAUAUUAUAAUGCUGUAUGUUCGCCAAGUGGAUAGGACUUGCAUGUUAUGGUGCAAUUAUUUCAAUUUCUUUUGUUCUCAUACAUGUAUUCAUUGAAUAUUUGUUGCUUGUUCUUCAGAGUAAGUGUAAUUUAGCUACAUACUUGUAGCUGCACUUGUAUGAUGUAAUGCUUGCCUUUAAGCUUAAUUAAUUCAAAUGUACCUAGUCAUUCUAUAUAUAUAUAUAUAUUUUUUGUUAUUUUUUGCUACUAAAAUUUAUGUUUCAACAAUUUAUAUUGGUGAGAUGUGAGGGAUAUUUGACCCUUGUAUUCUUUUUUCUUUUUUAUAAUACAUGAACAACUUUUUUUUCAGUUUGUAGUAUAUGUAUUUACAAUUCUAAGCAACUUUUUUUGCAUUUGCAUUAUAUAGUUAAAUACAUAUCAUUUGCUUUAUUAUAUUUAUAGAAAAAUCUUUUAUCUGUUGUAAGUUAUGUUAAAAGACAAUUAAUAGAUUAGAUGAGUGCUUCCAUAUUUUUUCUUACUUUAUACAUAUAAAGCCUUUGACAUAAGACUUUUUCUAACCUCUAUCAUUUAGUCACACUUAAGCAUAUAACUUAAGGGUAUUUUUGAAUUAAAGAAUAUUCAAAACUGG
rnacentral:misc_RNA from 1 species